ACUCCUACGGGAGGCAGCAGUGGGGAAUAUUGCACACUGGGCGCAAGCCUGAUGCAGCCAUGCCGCGUGUAUGAAGAAGGCCUUCGGGUUGUAAAGUACUUUCAGCAGGGAGGAAGGCGAUAAGGUUAAUAACCUUGUCGAUUGACGUUACCCGCAGAAGAAGCACCGGCUAACUCCGUGCCAGCAGCCGCGGUAAUACGGAGGGUGCAAGCGUUAAUCGGAAUUACUGGGCGUAAAGCGCACGCAGGCGGUCUGUCAAGUCGGAUGUGAAAUCCCCGGGCUCAACCUGGGAACUGCAUUGGAAACUGGCAGGCUAGAGUCUUGUAGAGGGGGGUAGAAUUCCAGGUGUAGCGGUGAAAUGCGUAGAGAUCUGGAGGAAUACCGGUGGCGAAGGCGGCCCCCUGGACAAAGACUGACGCUCAGGUGCGAAAGCGUGGGGAGCAAACAGGAUUAGAUACCCCUGUAGUCCCA
rnacentral:rRNA from 1 species